rnacentral:tRNA from 1 species
GUUUUAAUAAUUUAUAUAAUAAAAUAUUGGUCUUGUAAACCAAAAAAAAAAUUUUUUUUAAAACU